rnacentral:lncRNA from 1 species
GCGGCCCCGUCCCUCGCGCCCACCCGCGCCCGGCCGCCCUUUGCACGGCGGCAGCCAAGCAGGGCCCGGCAGGACGUGCUGAUGGGCCAGCACCCACGCACCCAUGGACCCACGCAUGUACCCGCACCCGUGCACCCACACGUGCAUGCACCUGCUCACCCGUGCAUGCAUGCAUGCACCCACCCGUGCAUGCACCCACACCCGUGCACCCACACGUGCAUGCACCUGCUCACCCGUGCAUGCAUGCACGCACCCAUGCAUGCACCCACACCCCCCCACCAUUGCAUCCCCCCCCCACGCGCACAUGCAUGGAGACGUGCUCUCACGUGCCCGUGCACCUGCACACGCGGCGAUGCACACGCACGCACACGUGCACUCCCGCACCCACGCGUGCACGCAAACCCACGUGCACACUCACCCACCCCCCCCACGCACCCUGCAGCCCGCAGCGGCACCCCCGGGUGCAGGGUGGGGGCAGAGCUGCUGUCGGCGGCGCGGAGCAGCCGCUGCGCUUUGCACGCAGCCCGGGCUUAUGCUGGGACCCAAAAAAGCCGGGAGGAAGAGGGUCACGGCCGCGGCGAGCGACACAUGCUCAGCGGAAACUCUGCAUGACCCCGGCGGAGAAGAUAACGCGAAGGGACGUCUGCGGCGCCGCCGGCCUUCCCUGACCCUGCUGCAAACCGGCUGUCGGAGCCGAAAACAGCCUGUCUGCUCGCUGCCCCCGCCGCUUGCCGGGUUGUGCAUCCCGGUGUGUCACUGCAGGGCUGCCGGAGCCCCGGGUUGUGCAUCCCGGUGUGUCAUUGCAGGGUUACAGGAGCCCCGGGUUGUGCAUCCCGGUGUGUCACUGCAGGGUUACAGGAGCCCCGGGUUGUGCAUCCUGGUGUGUCAUUGCAGGGCUGCCGGAGCCCCGGGUUGUGCAUCCCGGUGUGUCACUGCAGGGUUACAGGAGCCCCGGGUUGUGCAUCCCGGUGUGUCAUUGCGGGGCUGCCGGAGCCCCGGGUUGUGCAUCCCGGUGUGUCAUUGCGGGGCUGCCGGAGCCCCGGGUUGUGCAUCCCGGUGUGUCAUUGCAGGGCUGCCGGAGCCCCGGGUUGUGCAUCCCGGUGUGUCACUGCAGGGCUGCCGGAGCCCUGGGUUGUGCAUCCCGGUGUGUCAUUGCAGGGCUGCCGGAGCCUCGGGUUGUGCAUCCCGGUGUGUCAUUGCAGGGUUACAGGAGCUCCGGGUUGUGCAUCCCGGUGUGUCAUUGCAGGGUUACAGGAGCUCCGGGUUGUGCAUCCCGGUGUGUCAUUGCAGGGCUGCCGGAGCCCCGGGUUGCGCAUCCCGGCGCGUUAUUGCAGGUCCGCGGCUCUGGGAGCAGCUGCCGGAGCCAGGCCGUGCCGGUGCAUUUCCCCUGGGGCUGCGGCCAGCGCCGUCUGGGCUCCGGAUCAAUUAUUCGUGUUGCUCUUCCCAGCGCUCCAGCUACGGCCUGCACGUGUGGCCUGGCUCCUGGGGACACGGGGGUGUCUUGGUCCAGGCUGGCGCCCUGGGGACACGAUGGUAUCUUGGUCCAGGCUGGCACCCCAGGGACACCAGUGCAGCAGGCAGCAGGGCCAUGGGGACAGCGGGGCCACGGGGAUGGUGGGGCGACGGGGAUCGACGGCAGGGCGAGGGGACAGCGGGGCAGCGGGGACGGCGGGGCAAUGGGGCAGGGGGCAAUGGGGAUGACGGGGUGAUGAUGGGGUGA